rnacentral:rRNA from 1 species
GAUGAACGCUGGCGGCGUGCCUAAUACAUGCAAGUCGAGCGAACGGACGAGAAGCUUGCUUCUCUGAUGUUAGCGGCGGACGGGUGAGUAACACGUGGAUAACCUACCUAUAAGACUGGGAUAACUUCGGGAAACCGGAGCUAAUACCGGAUAAUAUUUUGAGCCGCAUGGUUCAAAAGUGAAAGACGGUCUUGCUGUCACUUAUAGAUGGAUCCGCGCUGCAUUAGCUAGUUGGUAAGGUAACGGCUUACCAAGGCAACGAUGCAUAGCCGACCUGAGAGGGUGAUCGGCCACACUGGAACUGAGACACGGUCCAGACUCCUACGGGAGGCAGCAGUAGGGAAUCUUCCGCAAUGGGCGAAAGCCUGACGGAGCAACGCCGCGUGAGUGAUGAAGGUCUUCGGAUCGUAAAACUCUGUUAUUAGGGAAGAACAUAUGUGUAAGUAACUGUGCACAUCUUGACGGUACCUAAUCAGAAAGCCACGGCUAACUACGUGCCAGCAGCCGCGGGUAUACGUAGGUGGGCAGCGUUAUCCGGAAUUAUUGGGCGUAAAGCGCGCGUAGGCGGUUUUUUAGUCUGAUGUGAAAGCCCACGGCUCAACCGUGGAGGGUCAUUGGAAACUGGAAAACUUGAGUGCAGAAGAGGAAAGUGGAAUUCCAUGUGUAGCGGUGAAAUGCGCAGAGAUAUGGAGGAACACCAGUGGCGAAGGCGACUUUCUGGUCUGUAACUGACGCUGAUGUGCGAAAGCGUGGGGAUCAAACAGGAUUAGAUACCCUGGUAGUCCACGCCGUAAACGAUGAGUGCUAAGUGUUAGGGGGUUUCCGCCCCUUAGUGCUGCAGCUAACGCAUUAAGCACUCCGCCUGGGGAGUACGACCGCAAGGUUGAAACUCAAAGGAACUGACGGGGACCCGCACAGGCGGUGGAGCAUGUGGUUUAAUUCGAAGCAACGCGAAGAACCUUACCAAAUCUUGACAUCCUUUGACAACUCUAGAGAUAGAGUCUUCCCCUUCGGGGGACAAAGUGACAGGUGGUGCAUGGUUGUCGUCAGCUCGUGUCGUGAGAUGUUGGGUUAAGUCCCGCAACGAGCGCAACCCUUAAGCUUAGUUGCCAUCAUUAAGUUGGGCACUCUAAGUUGACUGCCGGUGACAAACCGGAGGAAGGUGGGGAUGACGUCAAAUCAUCAUGCCCCUUAUGAUUUGGGCUACACACGUGCUACAAUGGACAAUACAAAGGGCAGCGAAACCGCGAGGUCAAGCAAAUCCCAUAAAGUUGUUCUCAGUUCGGAUUGUAGUCUGCAACUCGACUACAUGAAGCUGGAAUCGCUAGUAAUCGUAUAUCAGCAUGCUACGGUGAAUACGUUCCCGGGUCU